GAGCGAUCACUUGACUUGACAUUGUUGGCUAAUUGGCAAGGUGAUUUUUUCAGUCAAAUCAUUCUCUGCAUUAGAAGGU